rnacentral:rRNA from 1 species
CCGGCGCACGGGUGAGUAACACGUAUCCAACCUGCCGUCUACUCUUGGACAGCCUUCUGAAAGGAAGAUUAAUACAAGAUGGCAUCAUGAGUCCGCAUGUUCACAUGAUUAAAGGUAUUCCGGUAGACGGUGGGGAUGCGUUCCAUUAGAUAGUAGGCGGGGUAACGGCCCACCUAGUCUUCGAUGGAUAGGGGUUCUGAGAGGAAGGUCCCCCACAUUGGAACUGAGACACGGUCCAA